rnacentral:sRNA from 1 species
UUUUUCUAAAUUGUAGGGAAACCAAAAUUUUAAAAUCUUGAUUGGUAUGAAAAUAAGUUUUUGGAAAACAAAAACCAAAAACUCUUACAAAAUCUACAAAACAUUCAAUUCAUGUAUCCAAACUUCUUAAAGGGCCC